AGGGGCGAUAAGGAGGAAAAUACAAAGAAAAAGAGAUUGCUGGGGGAACUUGUGUCUAAUCUCGGCCUAUGAGCAGUGGAAUAAUUGACGAAGAUGUGAACUGUUAACUAGGAACUAUUGGAUUAAAAAAAAAUAGAUGAGAGAGAUGUGCGUGGAAAAAGACAAUGUUGUUGUACUUUUUAAUGAAAGUAAUUCCAAGUGUUUUAGCUUAGUAGCAAUCAAAACAUGCUUAUAGUGAUGAAAAUUAAAAUAUUUGAGGUUUAUACUCAAAUGUAA